UCCUCUCCACUACCAACUCCCUUUUUGUCCCCUUUUCCUUGCCCUGGAUUGUUUGAGGCCAACCCCAGGCUUCCAAUCAUUUCAUCUGACAAUCUUUUAGUUCACAUAUUUAGCAGGUAAGACUCUGCCUUUAUUAAAUAUAUCUCUUAUUGAAGAAAUAUCUUUCUAUAUAAGAAAAAAAAGCAGUUUCAUGCCCUGUGGCACAUAUAUAAUGUUACACAAUGGAAUGGAUCUUCUCCCUCAGUUCUAAAGUAUCUUAUAGGAAGAAAAUCUGAAAACAGUAAGUCAUAGAGAAUAGUAGUAGCCAAAUUCUGUGAACUCUGACUCUCUGAAAUCAAGUGACAUAUAAUUUCUGUGGUGGAAUAGAGUCAAAACUUUAAAGAAAAAUAUUUGUUAUUUAAUUUGUUUAAAUUAAUCAUUUUUGAGAUAGAAUGGAGCAAGGUAAAGACUUGUUGGAGCAAGCUCUAAUUGUCUGGAUGACA
rnacentral:lncRNA from 10 species